AUUGAACGCUGGCGGCAGGCCUAACACAUGCAAGUCGAGCGGAUGAAGGGAGCUUGCUCCUGGAUUCAGCGGCGGACGGGUGAGUAAUGCCUAGGAAUCUGCCUGGUAGUGGGGGAUAACGUCCGGAAACGGGCGCUAAUACCGCAUACGUCCUGAGGGAGAAAGUGGGGGAUCUUCGGACCUCACGCUAUCAGAUGAGCCUAGGUCGGAUUUGCUAGUUGGUGGGGUAAAGGCCUACCAAGGCGACGAUCCGUAACUGGUCUGAGAGGAUGAUCAGUCACACUGGAACUGAGACACGGUCCAGACUCCUACGGGAGGCAGCAGUGGGGAAUAUUGGACAAUGGGCGAAAGCCUGAUCCAGCCAUGCCGCGUGUGUGCAGAAGGUCUUCGGAUUGUAAAGCACUUUAAGUUGGGAGGAAGGGCAGUAAGUUAAUACCUUGCUGUUUUGACGUUACCAACAGAAUAAGCUCCGGCUAACUUCGUG
rnacentral:rRNA from 1 species